rnacentral:rRNA from 1 species
UACGGAGGGUGCGAGCGUUGUCCGGAUUUAUUGGGUUUAAAGGGUGCGUAGGCGGCCGAUUAAGUCUGGGGUGAAAGCCCGCUGCUCAACAGCGGAACUGCCCUGGAUACUGGUUGGCUUGAGUACAGACGAGGUUGGCGGAAUGGACAGAGUAGCGGUGAAAUGCAUAGAUACUGUCCAGAACCCCGAUUGCGAAGGCAGCUGACUAGGCUGUUACUGACGCUGAGGCACGAAAGCGUGGGGAGCGAACAGG